GAGGUUGUAGCUCAGUUAUUGAGCGCUUGCCUUGAAUGCAUGAGGCACUGGGUUCGAUCCUCAGCACCACA
rnacentral:tRNA from 1 species